rfam:Nicotiana attenuata strain TT chromosome 6, whole genome shotgun sequence.
AAACUGGGCAAAAUAGCCCCUUAACUUUGAGAGAACGAGUGCCUCCUCACAAAGAGGGUAGCAAUGACCACCCGAGGUGGUUGUUUACCAAAAACACAGGUCUUUGCACAAAGUCCUAAGACAAUGUACCAAAAGGUCAAGAAAGUUGAGUGACCUGAUGACUAUGUUGCUCGGACUUUCGAAAAAUAUCGUCGGGUGCAUGUCACAUCUUCCAAAAGUAGUGCACUUUUAGAAAAUCCAACAUGAGUACAACGGCAUUUUUGGAGAGUCCAUGCAGCAUUGCCUGAUGAUAAGGGAGCCGGUGACCAAGGCCCCGAUGAACGGUAAUUGUCACUAUAAUAGUCCUAAAGUAGUGAAAUUCCUUGUCAGAUAAGUUCCUACCAGACUAAACUUGAAUCUAAACUAAGAUCUU